UACGGAGGGUGCAAGCGUUAUCCGGAUUCACUGGGUUUAAAGGGUGCGUAGGUGGGCAAGUAAGUCAGGUGUGAAAGCCCUCGGCUCAACCGAGGAACUGCGCCUGAUACUGCAUGGCUUGAGGGUUGGAGGGGAGAGUGGAAUUCCCGGUGGAGCGGUGAAAUGCGUAGAGAUUGGGAAGAACGCCGGCGGCGAAAGCGACUCUCUGGUCAACUUCUGACGCUGAGGCGCGAAAGCUAGGGGAGCAAACGGG
rnacentral:rRNA from 1 species